AAACUAUAUUUUUAUAUUUUGAAAAUAUAAUUAGAAAUUUUUUUUCGUAGUUUU
rnacentral:tRNA from 1 species